UGGGGAAUUUUGGACAAUGGGCGCAAGCCUGAUCCAGCAAUGCCGCGUGCAGGAUGAAGGCCUUCGGGUUGUAAGCUGCUUUUGUACGGAGCGAAAAGGUCUGCCCUAAUACGGUGGGCUCAUGACGGUACCUUAAGAAUAAGCACCGGCUAACUACGUGCCAGCAGCCGCGGUAAUACGUAGGGUGCGAGCGUUAAUCGGAAUUACUGGGCGUAAAGCGUGCGCAGGCGGUUAUAUAAGACAGAGGUGAAAUCCCCGGGCUCAACCUGGGAACUGCCUUUGUGACUGCAUAGCUAGAGUACGGUAGAGGGGGAUGGAAUUCCGCGUGUAGCAGUGAAAUGCGUAGAUAUGCGGAGGAACACCGAUGGCGAAGGCAAUCCCCUGGACCUGUACUGACGCUCAUGCACGAAAGCGUGGGGAGCAAACA
rnacentral:rRNA from 1 species